rnacentral:rRNA from 1 species
GAUGAACGCUAGCUACAGGCUUAACACAUGCAAGUCGAGGGGAAACGGCAUUGAGUGCUUGCACUCUUUGGACGUCGACCGGCGCACGGGUGAGUAACGCGUAUCCAACCUUCCCAUUACUGUGGGAUAACCUGCCGAAAGGCAGACUAAUACCGCAUAGUCUUCGAUGACGGCAUCAGAUUUGAAGUAAAGAUUUAUCGGUAAUGGAUGGGGAUGCGUCUGAUUAGCUUGUUGGCGGGGUAACGGCCCACCAAGGCGACGAUCAGUAGGGGUCCUGAGAGGAAGGUCCCCCACAUUGGAACUGAGACACGGUCCAAACUCCUACGGGAGGCAGCAGUGAGGAAUAUUGGUCAAUGGACGGAAGUCUGAACCAGCCAAGUAGCGUGCAGGAUGACGGCCCUAUGGGUUGUAAACUGCUUUUGUAUGGGGAUAAAGUUAGGGACGUGUCCCUAUUUGCAGGUACCAUA